ACACUGCAGCGGCUUCGCCUGUUCUGAGUACUGCUGGGCCAAGUUGAAUGGUUACCCUCUGCAGCUCACCACACAUGGCUCACCACUGUCUUCCUGUAACAGACGAUAUUUUCAUAUUGUGUAUGACCUCUGUGGGCCAAACUGCUGUGGAAUCUAACUGUAACUAAGGAGUUACAAAACCAGGUCAGAAAAGAGUUAGACAUGGAUGAGAAGACAUCCCAGAGAAGUGUUGGACAUCUGGAUGUACAUUCAGUAAUUGGAAAAGUAACAACUCUGCUCCCAGAUGAUCAGCAAUCGGGGUCUGCAUGUUGUUUGAAUACUGCUCGACUAGCUGGGGCAAUGCACCAUUGGUCUUAGCCACUUCUGUAGAUGUGGUUGUGUUUCUAAACUUUCUUCCAGUGGUAAAGAACAGGUACUAUAUUUUUCUUGCUUAAAACUUUUUGGUAGGGUGCAGCACCAUCAACUCAGGCAUGCUUUCUGUAAAUGUGGAUAGUGGUUAAAAAACAAAACAAAAAGCAAACCCCAAAACCUUCCUAGAAGUUGCCAGAUAGGACAGCUGAAGGGAAUGUUAUUAUGACUAAGAGGCUGGAUUCACUGCACAAAACAGCUAUUUCUAGUGAUAAAGCAUAAAGGUUAAACAACGGAGGACAAGAUUGCCAGAUGUAAAAUGGAAAGUUUCCAAUUUAGGAGCAGCAGAGGAAGAACAUGAAUUAAUAAGCAAGGAGCAAAUUAGCAUUAUAAAAAUCAUCCAAGCCAAACCAAAUGCCAUUGAAAAUAAACUCAGGCACUCUCCUCCUCCUCUUCUGCUCCCUGCAUUCCAAGGAGGAUUGAAUUUAGAAUAACCAUGGGGAAUUUUAGAGAAAUCUUACACUAAAAUGCUGAACAAAGGCUUUAAAAGGUAGAGACACUGUAUGUGCUUCAAAACCACUAUUUCUUUCUUUAUCAUGCUAGAUUCUUCUUCAGUACUUCUGUCUGAAAAAGAAAUAAAUGUUUUGGACUUAA